rnacentral:lncRNA from 1 species
CCCCCCCCCCCCCCGAGGGCCCUAGGGUUGUUUUCUCGCAGGGACCGAUGCGAGUGUGGCCGAAUUCGGCCGAAAACAGCCAACCCGAGGCGAAUCGCCGCCGCAAGCGGCGGCGCCGUCGCCGGAGCACGGCGGAGCCGCCGUGCCGGAGUUGCGGUAUUGGCCAAAAAGGGGCCCUGAGCCUAAUUUGAAAUUUUUUGGAACACGUGCAGGUACCGUUAGUGUGUUUCAGUUCCCCGGGAAAAAUUCAGAAAAAAUUAGGGACGGCCUGUAGGCGCACUGUGAAUCGUAUUCGGAUCCCGAAAACAAGUAAGGACCCCUCACCCUAUUUCCUAUCACGGUAUUUCUUGAAUUAACGCAUGUGUGAAAUUGCUUAAGCUUGCUAAUGG